UACAGAGGUCUCAAGCGUUGUUCGGAUUCAUUGGGCGUAAAGGGUGUGUAGGUGGCGCCGUAAGUCGGGUGUGAAAUCUCGGGGCUUAACUCCGAAACUGCAUUCGAUACUGCGGUGCUUGAGGACUGGAGAGGAGACUGGAAUUCAUGGUGAAGCAGUGAAAUGCGUAGAGAUCAUGAGGAAGACCAGUGGCGAAGGCGGGUCUCUGGACAGUUCCUGACACUGAGACACGAAGGCCAAGGGAGCAAACGGG
rnacentral:rRNA from 1 species